CCUAGAAAUACAGCUGCUGGGUAGAGACAACAUGACAUGAAAAGAAUAGCUCCUUCCUGACUUACUCUCUCUUGGAUCAAUUACUGUGAUGGAAACCAGCUGCCAUGUCAGGAGUACACUCAGCUGGCCUAAUGGGAGGCCCACACAGAGAGGCACUGAGGUCGCCAAUCAAUAACCAACACCAAUACAGCGCAGCUUUAGCACAUUGAAUAUGUCAUACUACUCUCUCCUGGACUGCAGAGUUUUUGCUGACAAAUCUGCUGACAGCCAUGUUGGAACUCUCUUGAUUGUGGUGAAGCCUAAGAAACACUGUCUAAGCUAAAGGGCCAAGGUCAACAUCAACAGCGAAAGAGGAGACUUUGGGACUUGGAAGUGACUCCUAAAAUAGAGUAUUUUUAAAACUAUGGAACAUAACCUCAAUAACAUUAUUGAGAAUGGCUACUUGGCAAAUAAGGGAACUUUUGCAUCAGAGAUUAUUUAUGAUACAUCACAAUAGCAAUCUUAAAAAUGGAAGCAGAUUCUGAGAGACCUAAAGCACAAAUAAAUGAUAAAGGAUUGCAAGUGUAAAUAUUAGGUUUCUCUAGGAUGAAGAAAUCUCCUUAAAAAAAGGCCUACGUUUCAAAGCCUAGCUGUGCAGGAUGAAUGAAAAUCCAUUUGCCCAAUAAACUAGAAAAUCUAGAAGAAAUGGAUAAAUUCCUUGACACAUACACCCUCCCAAGACUAAACCAGGAAGAAGUUGAAUCUCUGAAUAGACCAAUAACAGGCUCUGAAAUUGUGGCAAUAAUCAAUAGCUUACCAACCAAAAAAAGCCCAGGACCAGAUGGAUUCAUAGCCGAAUUCUACCAGAG
rnacentral:lncRNA from 10 species